UCUGCCUCCGAUUGGCCGAGGCGGGUCACGCAGUCCGUGAGCCAAACAGAAUUGGAAGGGGUUUACCCGGUGACCUGGGCGUCACCGCUGUCGCCCGCCCACGGUGCAGACCCGGGAUCGCCUUUGGGUCGGGGCGGAGCGCGCAGCUCGGCCUCUCCCCGCUGUUCCCCGGAGACAAGGGCUCGGGAGAGCCCGAGGCCUUCGGCAGGUCGAGCUCCUCGCCCCGCUCCCCGGCACCCACGCCAGGCAGCAGCGCCCUCACCUGCCCGGCGCGUCCCCAGGGCGGCGUCUGCAGGCGCUGAGCCGGGCACGGUCCGGGGAGCGCGGAGCGGGUCUCCCGCCACAGCGUCUGAUCUGCCCGACCCUAAAGGGCCCAGUUCUAAACCAGGAUGACUCUGUAGCUGCGCUGUUCCUGCCUCGCCUUGACAGGGUGAUAGACUGACUCUCAAAUUCUAGUGACUGUUACCUGGCCGGAAAUGGGGAAACUGCCAGGGCUGGGGCGAGAGAGUGAGUAUAGAGAAAUGAAGGGAGAAGGAAGUCCUUCAAAUGAGCCGAACCUACGUUGAAUUCUGUGCCGGUGAGCGCCCCUCUCUGACCCUUUUAUUUUCCUGAGCACAAGUCAGUUCAGGAGCUUCUCAAUCGUCAUCAUUUCAUCUCUCAGAUGCUUUAUGCUCUCCUUCAACUUCACCUAGGGGGCACAUAAAAGCACAGGAUUUGAGAACGGGCAUCCCUCCCCCCACCGCACCCCAAUCUGAAGUCAUCUGAAGCUGCAUCCACCUGAAAGACCAUCAAGGAAGUGCGGCACAGGGCUGGACUACAUUUCCCAGCCACCCUUGCUGUGAGGCAUGGUCACCUGACUGUCCUGGCCAAUGGAAUGGGGGCAGGCGCUAGGUGAGCCAUUCUAGGCCCCGCCUUCCAAGGCUGACAGCUGCCAAGGCUCUUCCAACCUCUUUCUCCUCUGAGUGGGCUGAGUGGAGAAGAGUCUUAGGGUAAUUGUGGAGAGCUCGUGCUGUCUUUGUAAGUCUGGACUCCUGAAGAAUGGUGGAGAUGGCUACCUUGCUGACCUGGCCACCCACUUGGGUUUGUCAUAUGGGAGCUGGAGUGGGGCUUAGACUUCCCCAGUAUUAUACAUAGUAGGAUCUAUUUGUCACAGAAGUCGUUAACCUGUCGCCCUAACUGGCACAUGUCCCCCCAACCCCCACCCCUCCCUCUGACACUCCAGCCCAUGGCUGUAAGGUUGUUAGGCUAUUAUGGAUUGAGCUGUGUGCCCCCCAAAAAGACAUAUUCAAGUCCUAAACCCUGGUCUUGUGAAUGUGAUCCUAUUCGGAUAUAGGGUCUUUGAAAGAUGCUAUUAGUUAAGAUGAGGCCAAACUGGAGUAGGGUGGGUGCUAAUCCAACAUGACUGGAUUCCUAUAAGAAGAGGAAAUAUGGACACAGACAGACAGAGAGGACAGCCAUGUGAUGGAGACAGACAUUGAGUUAGGCCACGAGUCAGGGACCCCCACAGAUGGCCAAGAAGCCACCACUGAAACCCACUGACGCCUGGAUGUUGUACUUUGGGCCUCCAGUCUGUCAUCUGGAGCCACCCAGCUGGUGCACGUUGUUAUGGCCAACCUUGUACUCCUGGAUGGCCUCUUCUAUGGGCAGCACUGCGUGCAGCCGGUGCUCUCGGGACUCCCUGCAGACCACACAGAGGGGGCUCUGGUCGUCCUUGCAGUACAGCUUCAGCAGCUCCUGGUGGAUCUUGCACAGGUCCUUCUUCUGGAUGCUGGGGUGCUGCCGUGCCAUCUCGGCCACCUUGGUCAGCAGGCGGUUGGGGCGUAGGUUCCUCUGCGGGGACAUCUCCCGGCACUCGGGGCACGGGAAGGAGCCUCUCCGCUUCCUCCUUCCCUUCUUCCCUUUCCCCUUCUCCCAGGUCAUCCGGAUGCACUCCCGGCAGAAGUUGUGGCCGCAGACGGUCAUCACCGGGUCCGUAAAGUACUCUAGGCAGAUGGAGCAGGUGGCUUCCUCCUGGAGCUUUCUGGCAAGUUCCACAGCAUCCAUGGCUCCUGGGGAAGAAACAGA